rnacentral:lncRNA from 1 species
CUCUAGUGGAAGAUAAUAACAUCGUUGUUUUUCCUUUGCAUCUGUAAACCAUCAGAAUUCACUGUGUGCAUCUGAAAUUCUGGAAAGUGACGAUGAGAAUCCCAGAGAGGAAUUUUUCAUUAAAGUGAGCAGUAUAUUAACAGAAAGACAGACACAUAAGUAUGAACUACUCCAGUUUUAACAGGGGCAAAAUACAAGGUGCAGAUAUACUGUUUUUUUUGUAUCAAAUUAUUCCAACUACUGAGAAAUUACUGUGGUGCUC